rnacentral:rRNA from 1 species
AGCGAACGCUGGCGGCAGGCCUAACACAUGCGAGUCGAACGAACUCUUCGGAGUUAGUGGCGGACGGGUGAGUAACACGUGGGAACGUGCCUUUAGGUUCGGAAUAACUCAGGGAAACUUGUGCUAAUACCGAAUGUGCCCUUCGGGGGAAAGAUUUUUCGCCUUUAGAGCGGCCCGCGUCUGAUUAGCUAGUUGGUGAGGUAAAGGCUCACCAAGGCGACGAUCAGUAGCUGGUCUGAGAGGAUGAUCAGCCACAUUGGGACUGAGACACGGCCCAAACUCCUACGGGAGGCAGCAGUGGGGAAUCUUGCGCAAUGGGCGAAAGCCUGACGCAGCCAUGCCGCGUGAAUGAUGAAGGUCUUAGGAUUGUAAAAUUCUUUCACCGGGGACGAUAAUGACGGUACCCGGAGAAGAAGCCCCGGCUAACUUCGUG